CCGGAACUUCCGCCAUAGCCGCCGCCGGAACUUCCUCCAUAGCCGCCGCCGGAACUUCCGCCAUAGGCGCGCCCGCCGCCGCGGGAACUACCGGGGAUCCAGUUCUGGAGAGAGCUGCCUUCCUUCAUGUACUGAAUCUUCCCAGAUAAAUGGAACAGAUGGCUGUGCCUAUGUGUUUGGGAUGAUCCACAACAGCUUCAGAGACAUGAAUUAUGAGACAGGGUCAAACCUCUGCACGGACAGACCACAGGGACUGGGGAGCGCCGCCUUGUGUAGACCUCAUGCUGCCUCGAGGUUUUGUCUUUCUCCAGACUGCUGUGCUGCUGCAUGACCACAUAAUGGAGUAUUUCGUUUAUUGUGUUAACCUAAAAAUGUAGUGUUUAUGAUGCUUGAGUGCAAUUUGUGAAGGAUCCAGAAAAUCUUCCCAGGAUUUAGCUAAGGAAAUGGUUAUAACCAAUUAACACUGAACUUUUUGGACAAUAUUUUAAGCUCCUGAUCAACCGUGAGUGGACUGAUAAAAUCAAAUUUCUGAAGCCUAAAGUUUGAGGACUGGACCUUUGUCAACAAAUGUGUGUUGAAUAAGUAAACCUAUGAGGUGCAGUGACUCUGGAAAGCUCAUCCGGAAAUGUUCUGUCCAUCUUACCCACUCUAAAUACAAGAGUACAAGUGUACACCAACAGCCACGAGUGUACACCAACAGCCAGAUGAGGAAACACAAUACAAUAAUACUCAGUGUUGUAUCCCACGAAACGGGCUGCCUGAAGAAGAGGCCGAAACAUCCCAAACUUCAAUACAGAGCUAUAAAGUGAUGUUAGGAGGCUGUGCGGAUAUUGAUUUCUUGACCAACAUGAGAGCCCUGAGCAGGAAAGAUGAUUCCAGGCCCAAAUUGCCUCUCUGGUCAGCAGGGGGCGCUCUUGCCCUUCAGAUCCAGCAAAGGCUAAAGCCCGCCCCCGCGCAUCCUGCCCCGCGGCCGGCUCUGGGGAAACCCAAGACUGUGAGUCACCACCGCCCUCCUUCCUCCUCUGUUCAAACCGGCGUUUUGCAAAGAACAGCAUUACUUCUUGCCCUGCUUCUCUGUACUAGCCUUGGAAAAACGGCUCUCGCUGCUACAAGUGGAGAAAACGGCACCUUCUUCAGAGGACAGAGCAGUGCUUGUUCCAUCUUGAACUUACUGACAUGCAACAUGACUCUUCACGAAGAGGAGAGUGCUCUUUAAUGAGGAUAAUUGUCUGAGCUCUGUAGUCUCAAGGUCAUGAGUUCAUGGGAGAAUCCUCUGGAUCCAGAAACCAAGUGAUGAUUGCUAAAAGAAUCUUAGGGUACAUGAAUGCACACACGAGCUGGAUGUCCUUUGCCUCCUCCUCUCCCCUGCCAGCUUCUGCCUUACCCUUCACUCUCUCCGUCCAGGAGCUGACG